rnacentral:rRNA from 1 species
UUAGAUACCCCUGUAGUCCUGGCAGUAAACGGUGCACGCUUGGUGUGGGAGGAUUUAACCCCUUCCGUGCCGGAGCUAACGCGUUAAGCGUGCCGCCUGGGGAGUACGGUCGCAAGAUUAAAACUCAAAGGAAUUGACGGGGACCCGCACAAGCGGUGGAGCAUGUGGCUUAAUUCGAUGCAACGCGAAGAACCUUACCUGGGCUUGACAUGUUAGUCGUAGAUUUGUGAAAGCUUAUCGUCACUUCGGGUGGACUAUCACAGGUGCUGCAUGGCUGUCGUCAGCUCGUGUCGUGAGAUGUCAGGUUAAGUCCUAUAACGAGCGCAACCCCUAUGAACUGUUGCCAGCGGAUAAUGCCGGGGACUCUGUUCAGACUGCCCAGAUUAACUGGGAGGAAGGAGGGGAUGACGUCAAGUCAGUAUGGCCCUUACGCCCAGGGCUGCACACGUGCUACAAUGUCCAGUACAAUGUGAACCGAGACCGCGAGGUGGAGGAAAUCUUGAAAACUGGGCUCAGUUCGGAUUGUAGGCUGCAACUCGCCUACAUGAAGUUGGAAUCGCUAGUAAUGGUGCAUCAGCUACGGCACCGUGAAUACGUUCCCGGGUCUUGUACACACCGCCCGUCACAUCAUGGAAGCCGCUCGCACCCGAAGUAUCCCCAUUAAGGAGGUCCUAAGGUGUAGGUGGUAACUAGGAUGAAGUCGUAACAAGGUAACCGUA